rnacentral:rRNA from 1 species
GACGAACGCUGGCGGCGUGCUUAACACAUGCAAGUCGAACGGAAAGGCCCUGCUUGCAGGGUACUCGAGUGGCGAACGGGUGAGUAACACGUGGGUGAUCUGCCCUGCACUUCGGGAUAAGCCUGGGAAACUGGGUCUAAUACCGGAUAGGAGCCAUUUUUAGUGUGAUGGUUGGAAAGUUUUUUCGGUGUAGGAUGAGCUCGCGGCCUAUCAGCUUGUUGGUGGGGUAAUGGCCUACCAAGGCGGCGACGGGUAGCCGGCCUGAGAGGGUGGACGGCCAAUUGGGACUGGGAUACGGCCCAGGCUCCUACGGGAGGGAGCAGUGGGGAAUUUUGGACAAGGGGGGGAAGCCUGAUGCAGGGACGGCGGGGGGGGGAUGACGGCCUUCGGGUUGUAAACUCCUUUCGCUAGGGACGAAGCUUUUUGUGACGGUACCUAGAUAAGAAGCACCGGCUAACUACGUG